UACGGGGGGGCAAGCGUUGUUCGGAAUUACUGGGCGUAAAGGGCCAGUAGGCGGCCAACUAAGUCCGACGUGAAAUCCCAAGGCUUAACCUUGGAACUGCGUCGGAUACUGGAUGGCUUGAAUUCGGGAGAGGGAUGCAGAAUUCCAGGUGUAGCGGUGAAAUGCGUAGAGAUCGGGAAGAACAUCGGUGGCGAAAGCGCUCUACUGGACCGCAACUGACACUCAGGGACGAAAGCUAGGGGAGCGAAUGGG
rnacentral:rRNA from 1 species